AUUUAGUUGACGUGUCCCAGAUAUGACGAAACGCGCUUCACGCUUCCUAAAU
rfam:Schistosoma haematobium scaffold312_9, whole genome shotgun sequence.